AUUGAACGCUGGCGGCAGGCCUAACACAUGCAAGUCGAGCGGAUGAAGGUAGCUUGCUACCUGAUUCAGCGGCGGACGGGUGAGUAAUGCCUAGGAAUCUGCCUGGUAGUGGGGGACAACGUUUCGAAAGGAACGCUAAUACCGCAUACGUCCUACGGGAGAAAGUGGGGGAUCUUCGGACCUUACGCUAUCAGAUGAGCCUAGGUACGAUUAGCUAGUUGGUGAGGUAAAGGCUCACCAAGGCGACGAUCGUUAACUGGUCUGAGAGGAUGAUCAGUCACACUGGAACUGAGACACGGUCCAGACUCCUACGGGAGGCAGCAGUGGGGAAUAUUGGACAAUGGGCGAAAGCCUGAUCCAGCCAUGCCGCGUGUGUGAAGAAGGUCUUCGGAUUGUAAAGCACUUUAAGUUGGGAGGAAGGGCAGUAAGUUAAUACCUUGCUGUUUUGACGUUACCGACAGAAUAAGCACCGGCUAACUUCGUGCCAGCAGCCGCCGCGGUAA
rnacentral:rRNA from 1 species